rnacentral:rRNA from 1 species
CCUACGGGUGGCAGCAGUGGGGAAUAUUGCACAAUGGGGGAAACCCUGAUGCAGCGACGCCGCGUGAGUGAAGAAGUAAUUCGUUAUGUAAAGCUCUAUCAGCAGGGAAGAAAAUGACGGUACCUGAGUAAGAAGCCCCGGCUAACUACGUGCCACCAGCCGCGGUAAUACGUAGGGGGCAAGCGUUCUCCGGAUUGACUGGGUGGAAAGGGGGCGCAGACGGCAAUGCAAGCCAGGAGUGAAAGACCGGGGCCCAACCCCGGGACUGCCCUUGGAACUGCAUGGCUGGAGUACAGGAGGGGCAGGCGGAAGUCCUAGUGUAGCGGUGAAAUGCGGAGAUAUUAGGAGGAACACCGGUGGCGAAGGCGGCCUGCUGGACUGUGACUGACGUUGAGGCCCGAAGGCGUGGGGAGCAAACAGGAUUAGAUACCCGGGUAGUC